rnacentral:lncRNA from 1 species
AAUUACAACUCAUAUGCCUGGAGCCAGGACAUGUGCAGGAUGGGAAAUUUUGACCUAUUGCACCCAGAUGAUGUUACUCUUCUGAUAGAGUCCUGAAAAAAGAGGGAAUUAUUGCAUACUGGUGGGCCCAGCUGCUGAUGAUGCUACAGUCCUUCCUGUGCCAGAGCCACAGACAGUAUUUUGACAUAAUUUCGGCCCAUUUGCCAUGAUGGUCCAAGUUAUAUUGGGAUUCAGCCAAUAGAAGAUAUUUUGCCUGUCAUCCCUAAGCUUAGGACAAUAGGGUCCUGCCCACAAGAAAGAUUGUGACAUCUCACUGGACAAGCACCCACCCAGACUCUGCCAAGAGAGGGGAUUAUUACAUAUUGCAGAGCCCAGCACCUAGGUGGAGUGACUCUCAUCUUUUUCUUCUACCCCGUAUAUAGCCAGCUUGGUGACCUACUAUUUGAGUCUAUACCCAGGCCCAGACCACAGAUGAAAUUGUGCAAUAUGUGGAACAAACACCUAAACAAUAUAUAACACCUUCCUUGGCUCUGUCUACAAAGGGCACUUUUAUAUAUCACUGGGACCAUCAACCAGGUGAUGUUAAUUAUCUUCCUGAAACCUGUCUACAAAGAGAGUUGUGUCGUAUACCUAGGCCCGUCAUGUAAGUGAUGUCAGUCCCUUCUACUGCCUUGGCCCUGCACUUACAGUGCAUUGUGACACAUAACAAGGUACUGCACACAG